CUCCUCUUCUCUCUCCCUAUUUUCUAGAUUACAACUAGAACUAACUAGAACUAGAACUAGAACUAGAGGAACUAGAACUAGAACUAGAUGAACUUGAACUAGAACUAGAUGAACUAGAGGUAGAACUAGAAGAACUAGAGGGAUCCUCUCUACUUGGAUGAAGAAUUGAAACCCUAGCUUUGAUUCUGUAGAAGAGGUAUGAUCUCCAGGGGCCAGGGGGCCUUGCUUAUAUAGUCUUUUCAGAAGAAUCUGGGCCGUCGGAUCAAACCGACAUUGAUUGAACGGUUAUUGUUGAUCCUUUAGGUCGGUGGAGCAUAAUCCCCGAAUUGGACUCCGAUUGGGCAACACAGCUGGGCGGGCGCCCUGUCCCUGAGCCCUCUCGUCCUCUGCUUCGGUCUCGUGGCUUCUGGAGUCUUCUAGAUGAUAGAAAAUUGCGCGGCACGUUAAUAUCUCUAUGUAAACCCGACAUGUGGGCCUUUCUUCCGUAUUUCCUGAUAACCCCCUGCAGAAAUAGACAAACACCAAAACUCGUGGAAUUCUGUCAGAUAAAACCCUAAGUCUAGGUGUUGGUUGCAUUUGGAUCCUUUUCCAUGAUUAAUUGAAAAGAUGGACUCAAGAGUUUCUGCAGUGGUUUCAUGCCUUAAAGAUAUACAUGCGUUCAAACAAGAUCUCAUCUCUAGGUUAGGGUAAACUGUUAAGAUUUAAACUUACUCAUAUUACCUUCAACCAUGGGGCUUGCAACUGUCACUUGUGUCUUGAGCAGUUAAAAGAUAGAACGGUCUAGUCAAGCGCCAUGUCUCUUGUUCUUCGAUUAACUAUAGCUCUGGAGUUUUUGUAGAUUUUAAAAUAAAAAUCAGAGAUUCCUUGUAUGAUUCUCUCUAGUCUCUCUUUUGUGGUAUUUCUAGAUCCUUACCAAGGCAGUAAUGGUGUAUGCCUUCUCUCAAAGUAUGUGAUAUUUUUGGUAUGAGGCAUAGUGGCAUUGCCUUCUCUCUCACCCUACUCUAAUAAGGUUUUGAUAUCUGGAGCUCAUAGGUGGGAGACAGCUAAUACAUACCUACAAGACAUUUAUUGCAUAGUCAAACCAUGGAUCCAGAAGAACAAGUCAAUAAGUCAAAUCAAGAUGUGCAUGUGUGGCGAAUGAAUGGUGUAUGGUGAUGAUGUUGAUAAUAAUGGUGAAAGUCUAAUUCUACUUGUGCUCUUUUGAGGGAUACAUACCUUUCUUGCUCUUUUGAAACUUUUUGAGGAGAAUGAGAUACUCUAUAUUUUAUUUUUCUUUUCUCUCAGGUGGGUAACUUGUACCCCUAAUUCUACUAUCGGACACUUGUCCAUUUUUACCUCUCGUCUCACUUUUUUUUCUUUUCUUCGAGGUUCCAGGCACGUGCCCCUUUUUAUUUCCUCAUAUCUUUUUUCUCUCUUUUUUUAGAGCACUCAUCUCUUGAAAUAAUAUAGCAAGUGGUAGUAACCAAGAUAACUUGAGCAUUUAUUUCACAGGGAAAAAUAGGAAUAUUUUUGGCUAUUCUCUCCCGGAUUAGGAGUAGAAUAUUUUUGGUUGGUUCUGGAGAUGGAAAUGGUUGGAUAUAUGUGGAUGCGUACUUCCGGAGUAGAAGCAACAUGUGUAAGUGAACGUGCAAGUGAAUCUUGAUUUAACCACAUGACAAGCUCCUAAGGGUCUACACAGCUUGACCACACUCAAUGCUCAUAAGCAGUAAAAAAAUAAAUGUGUGGCUCAAAGUCUAGCAAGCAUGUAUAUAUGGCUGUGGUAGGAAUUUAAACUCUCAUCAUACAGGAACUCAUCAUGCAACAUUUUAAAGAUUUUCAAAGAUAAAAUUCUCCAGAAUACUAGCAUCUCUUGGAACAGAUAAACAGCAGUUCAACCUUUCCAAAUCGUAUCCGUUAACGACUUAGACUUUAGAUUAAGUACUCUUCCCACAAGUUUAGGUUUAGAACAAAUCUUAAUUAAUACCAGUCAUGCCUAAACUUGAGAGAGAUUUCAAUUUUAAGAAUUAGUCAUGGCAGAGCAACUAUUCAUCAUUUCCAUGUGAGAGCUUAUCAUGAGGGUUCAUAGCAAACUUUAUUUAUUUAUUUAUUUAGCAAACUAAGCAAAGAUAUAUAUAAGCACAAAAUCUUUAUUUGGGUUUUUAUGAUUAUGCAUCUUUUUAUUAUUUGUGUAAAAUAUAAACAUGAGUAGAGCACUUAGCUGGAUAAAUGGGGUUGCUCUCCCCCAAGCUGGGUUUUGACGUAAUUUCUUCUGAUGUAGCUAGCAGGUGGCGGAGGUGUAUAUGAAUGUCAGCAGCACCCUGACAACGAUUAGGAUGUCCUCCGUCUGCUAGUCUUCUUUGAUCCUUGAAUUCUGUGGAGCUCAAAUAGACAACAAAACUUUGUGGAACUAGUUAAGUGUUAGCAUAAAUAUCUAGCCUUUAUCAUGUUGAGCCUCCACAAUAAAUGUUACUCUCUUUAGUAGGAUCAUAAAUUUAUUUUUAUAUUUUCUUUUUUAUAGGACAGGGAUAUAUUUAUUUUAUUUUUACGCCACCACGGUGAAUGUACUUAUGGGUUUUAUGCCAUGAGCAUACUCACAUGGGGCUUACUAUUUUUUAACAUUUUUAUUUUCUUUUCAAGAUGAUAUGAACCUGAUUAACUAAGCAAACUAUUUUAAAUAAUUGAAGGGAAAAGGAUAACUACCAAAUUUACCUCUUGGCAAGGCGUUCGGUGUUUUUAAGUCCUCCGAACGGGACCCUCCGUUUUCUCAGUCGUCCUUGGAUUCGCUGGAUGGCGUAGUCGGUGGUUCCGGCAGCGCCUCCUCUUCAUGUAUAACUAUCUUCUCUCUCCACACCUGACUUGGUGCUACGGUCUCCUCAGGACAGUUCUGUUCAAGCUGUAUGUCUUCAGACAUUACCACUUCUCCUUCGUAGUCUGCCCAUCCGUCCUUGAUGAUUUGCCUUCUCUGGUUGCGGUUGCGUCGUCUUCUUCUUGUCUUGACCUGCUUAGAAUCUUCAGCUAUAUAGUUAGGGUCAGUAAAAUAGCAGCGUACUUCUUAGAGGGGAAGUUCAUAUGGACUUCUCCGGUUCCAAUGCAGAUGAUUGCUUUAACGAUGCUGAGGAACGGUCUCCCAAGGAUGAUGGGUGGAUUGUACUCGUCUUCUCCCAUGUCAAUAACCUAAAUGAUCGUCUAUUUUGACAGGGACAUCAGUUACUAUACCUUCAACCUUGCGGAAUGUCUGAUCUGCCAUCUGGAGCUGAAUGUAUGUCAAUUUUAGGGGCAUGGUUCCAAAUAGGAGCUGAUAGGUGACUGCAGCCAUUAUGUUGACGCUUGACCCGGUGUCGCAAAGCUUCUUCUAGAAGUUGUAUCUAUUUAUGGAGCACUGGACGCUUGGUAUACCUGAACCAUCCUUUUUGGUCAGGAACGGUGAUUUAAGUCGACGAUCUUGACCUCCUUGAACUGCAGUGACCAUCUUAGCUGACUCGGUCCACAUUUGCUUGUUCUUGUUCCUCCUGUUGGUCCUCAUGUCGGGAUUGCUCUGAGAUUUGUGUAAUCUUGUUCUCAAAGGAAAAUAUCUCCUUCUUCCCCUUGAUGUAGAAACUGAUCUUGGCAGCACUAGCGUAGAUGACAGCUCCCGAAGUGUUCAGGAAUGGCCUCCCUAGGAUGAUGGGUGCCCUCUGAUCAGUAUCAAUCUCUAUCACCACGAAGUCUGCUGGAGCGUAUAAGGUACCAACUGUUGACGGUCCUUAAGUAUCAAAUUUAAUAAUCAAAUAAACAAAGAAAAGGAUCCAAAUGAAAUCAACAUCUAGACUUAGGGUUUUAUCUGACAGAAUUCCACAAGUUUUGGUGUUUGUCUAUUUCUGCAGGGGGUUAUCAGGAAAUACGGAAGAAAGGCCCACACGUCGGGAUUACAUAGAGAUAUUAAUGUGCCGCGCAAUUAUCUUACAUCUAGAAGACUCCAGAAGCCACGAGACCGAAGCGGAGGCG
rnacentral:lncRNA from 1 species